AAGGAGAAUAAUGGUAUUCUAUAUACGUUUGUUGUGUCUGCUUCUUCUUCAUAAUAGAUAAUCGAAUUUGUAUAUUUUAUAUCUUUUUUUAAUAUUAUGUAAAUACAUUAAUUAGUGCCUUACUAUUCAAGUAUAUUAAUUUUAUACAUAACAAUGCAAUUUAAAGUUUUUAAUUAGGUUAUAUCGUUCCAUUGGUAAAUUCGUUUUACUGAUAUUAUCAAGCAUACUAUGUAUUAAUAAAUAAAUUACUAUUGCGCAAUUGAAAUGAAGAGAUAAAGAAAUGUUUAAGUAAUGGAUAUGCAAGAUAAUUGUAUUAUGGAAAAGGUCAUCUCUUCAAAAAAAAGAAAGUUGAUAUAAAUAAAUAAGCACGCUUAACAUUUGAAGUGUCAUCUCCUAAAACAGUAUCAAAUAAUGUUUUUUCAAAAAAAAGAAAAUUAGAAUCUCCAGAGGAAUGUAAAAUUCCCAAGAUUGUAAAAGUUUCAACUAAGGGAGAAUCAUUAGAAGAUUCCGAUGUGGAUAAUAUAAUCCCUAAUGAAAGUAACACAUCAUGCAGCAGUAAAACUGAUGUGGAAUUAAUAGAAAUAUCGAAUGAAGAAGAAGAGAUUCAAGAGAAAUUUAUGCAGCAUGACAAAGUUAUAGAUAAUAAUGUCAAAUUAAAACAUUUUCGAAAAUGAAAAAGAAAGAGUCUCAUAAAACAGAUUUUAACAAAAUUCUUUACAAUGACAAAUAAAACAUAUGAUAAAAAUAUAAGCGUAGAUGAUAAUAUAAAAGAAAAAGCAGAAUAACGUGAUAUUGCUUCUGUUCAAAAUUUACAUGAGAACUUCGAUGAAUAUUCAAAUGUAACAGAUAAUGAUAUAUUAGCAAUUAAAUGAUUUUGAAAUAUCUUAUAAAUAUUACUAAAAACGAUAAAUUAUAUGUCGAUUCUGAUUCUGAAAUAGAUGUUUCUCCAGAUAAU